rnacentral:rRNA from 1 species
UACGGGGGGGGCAAGCGUUGUUCGGAAUUACUGGGCGUAAAGGGCUCGUAGGUGGCCAACUAAGUCGGACGUGAAAUCCCUCGGCUUAACCGGGGAACUGCGUCCGAUACUGGAUGGCUUGAGUUUGGGAGAGGGACGCGGAAUUCCAGGUGUAGCGGUGAAAUGCGUAGAUAUCUGGAGGAACACCUGUGGCGAAAGCGGCUCACUGG